CAAGAGGGGCUCUAGCCCCACCAGCCCAAUGCAAUGUGAAUUGGACUUGAAACAUUGAAAUGCGCAUGCUCAGAGUGUGUCUCUGUUGAAGUGGACGGAGAUUAUUUUACUUCCUGGUGGGGCUAGUCCCACCGGUGGGGCUAGUCCCAUUUAUGGUUCGUUCCACUUCAGCGUCAUUUCGUUUUUCACAGUUCAUUGGCUGUAGGGUGAGGCACGUGAUGAAUCAUGACUCGAGUGACCUCCCACCUCACCUCACAUGCCGCGCGCAAGAUGUCCGGUAGCGAAGAAGUGAAGGAGAAGGAUAACUUUGCUAACAAACAUGCCGGAGGCAAACAUCGAAAACGAAUCGACAACAUGAAUGUGGUAGAUCAUCUAUUGGAGCACGGAUUUGAGACCCUUAGUCUGGAGGACAAAAUAGAGGCACGGCAGAAGGUUCCCACACUUCAUGGAGGAGGCCAAACAAAUGGCGGCUGGACUACUUCCACCAGUCUUCAGACUGAAGCGAAAAAGAGAAGUGAAUGACGUUUCCAGUGAAAUAAUA